GUUCUUGCUUCGGCAGAGCGUAUACUAAAAUUGGAACGAUACUGAGAAGAUAAACAUAGCCCCUGCGCAAGGAUGACACGGAAAAUUGUAAAGCGUUCCACAUUUUU
rnacentral:snRNA from 1 species